GACGUCGGAAACUAGGGCAGCGGCUUUCGCAUCUCGCCUAUUCGAUAAUCGGUAAGUAGCUUACUGUCUUUCGUGUACACUUCAUUGAAUCAGGUUUAAGGAUUUGCCACGUUGUAAGCACUAAGACACAUGGCCACGUCUUCAACUCAAGAAUAGGCUGCUAAAUGCGUGCCUGUCAGGCAGUUUUCAGGAGGGAAGUACAACCCAUUCCUACAUCGUAAACAUCGAUAUAUUUGUAGGUCUGCGUGGAUUGUCUUCCGUCCCAACUUCUGAAUGGCUCUUCG
rnacentral:lncRNA from 1 species